AUUGAACGCUGGCGGCAUGCCUUACACAUGCAAGUCGAACGGCAGCACGGGAGCAAUCCUGGUGGCGAGUGGCGAACGGGUGAGUAAUAUAUCGGAACGUGCCCAGUCGUGGGGGGAUAACGCAGCGAAAGCUGUGCUAAUACCGCAUACGAUCUCUGAUGAAAGCGGGGGAUUCGCAAGGACCUCGCGCGAUUGGAGUGGCCGAUAUCAGAUUAGCUAGUAGGUGAGGUAAAGGCUCACCUAGGCGACGAUCCGUAGCUGGUCUGAGAGGACGACCAGCCAACACUGGAACUGAGACACGGUCCAGACUCCUACGGGGAGGCAG
rnacentral:rRNA from 1 species